CUCUAGCUGAAAGAAGCUAUAAAGGAUAGAAUGGUCUCCAGGUGACCCCCUUCACUGUGACCAAGGUAAUUCAACUGUAUGAGACCAAAACCUCCCGACACUCCUCGAUGAUCGUGGAGAAGACGGGCAGCGGCAAGACGGUCACAUGGAGAACCCUUCAAAACGCCCUUAGCACCCUGCACCGCAACGGAGAACCGGGAUUCAACCUCAUACAAGAGUGUCCCCUAAACCCCAAGGCAGUGAGCCUGUGAGAGCUGUAUGGAGAAUAUAACCUCUCCACCAAUGAGUGCACAGAUGGUGUCCUCUCUUCGCUCAUGAUGGUGCCCUGCGCAGGUGAGCCCAGCAGACUCUGUAA
ensembl:lncRNA